AUUGAACGCUGGCUGCAUGCCUUACACAUGCAAGUCGAACGGCAGCACGGGUGCUUGCCCCUGGUGGCGAGUGGCGAACGGGUGAGUAAUACAUCGGAACAUGUCCUGUAGUGGGGGAUAGCCCGGCGAAAGCCGGAUUAAUACCGCAUACGAUCUACGGAUGAAAGCGGGGGACCUUCGGGCCUCGCGCUAUAGGGUUGGCCGAUGGCUGAUUAGCUAGUUGGUGGGGUAAAGGCCUACCAAGGCGACGAUCAGUAGCUGGUCUGAGAGGACGACCAGCCACACUGGGACUGAGACACGGCCCAGACUCCUACGGGAGGCAGCAGUGGGGAAUUUUGGACAAUGGGCGAAAGCCUGAUCCAGCAAUGCCGCGUGUGUGAAGAAGGCCUUCGGAUUGUAAAGCACUUUUGUCCGGAAAGAAAUCCUUGGCCCUAAUACGGUCGGGGGAUGACGGUACCGGAAGAAUAAGCACCGGCUAACUACGUG
rnacentral:rRNA from 1 species